AAGACUAUAGACCUGCGGAGUACCUGCGGAGGGAUCAUUGCCGAUUCAUUCGUGGGGGGAGAGAGUCACCUCUCUCCCCCCGACCGACACCUCUGUGCACUCUGGAGGGGACUCGAGAAAGAGAGCCCUCCUGUUUACGAACGCCUGUAGUCUCGCGCGUAUCAGAAAUGAAAAAUAGAAACACAACUUUCAACAAUGGAUCUCU
rnacentral:misc_RNA from 1 species